GAUGACUAUUCUAGUGCUGAGUGGUGGUGGAAGCAGCGAGGGCACUCGAAUUAUCAAAAAUGUGUUGGCUCGUGGAGAGCUGACCUUGCAUUGAAUGCUUUCAAGUAAGUUUCAUGCAUGCCUGGUACUCAUUGCUCAGCUAACGGUAAGAGCUUUCCAUGAAGGCCAACCCGACAUUUCUUGAUCACGAGCCGAUGAUGAUCGGGUGGAAAAAGACGGUUAUGGUGUCGGAGUUCCCCGAAGCUGCGUGAAGUGAUCCUUCAAAGUUCAAGCCUGUGUGAUCUUGUGCGCAGAGAGCCUUGCAUAUCCACCAAUGGCAAUGCAGGCUCGCUGGCAUUCACCUCCGGUACGAACGGACACAACGUUCAGCUUUCAACAUGGCAAGGGCCACGGCCAUGGGUGCACCAUCUUGGACUUCUUCCAUCCUGCCCGCAUUGGCUGAACACGGACAAGAGAAGCCUGCAAGCCGGCGCGGAUAAGCAGGUUCUAACACUGGCCACCGGAAGGGUGUUUUUGGUGACGACCAACAAGGUUUAUGACAUCUAUACCCGUAAAAAUGGCGUCCGCCCCAGCUACUCUACUGCCAGAGAGUCCACUUCAGGACUCACCUUUGACAAGCUGUCACCUACGGACUUCGAGCAGAACUGCGAUAUGGACUGGAACAACUACAGCGAGGGUUGUCGUUGGGAAAACUGCCUGUCGCCAUCAUCCGUCUCGUCCACUCCAGAACAUACACAUGCAGAUGACUAUCAUCAUCUGGGUGAGGUAGAUCCAGCUUGUCUCUGCGUUACUCAUGGCAACGGGAAUUUGACUACCGCGAGGUUUAGGCUUUUUCCUACAAUGUUGUCUUGACAACGCUGUGUUUUCUCUGUUUUCAAUUAAUAAUUUGAUUGUGUAUACCGUGUGGUGGGUGUACGUUACCAAUAGAUAGUAGUGUGGUGGCUGGUGGGUAGAUGAUGUCAUCUUUACUUUAGAUAUUUGUAGCUUGGUAUGAAUUGUUUAUUUGUGCACUUGAGUGUGUUAUCCUCUUCUGGCCUGUGAAAAUGUGGUGGUAUUCACAACCCCUCUUAGCCUCAACCAGCUAACUUAGUAGGGCAACUGUUAGCUCUUGUUUCUUUAUUUUCACAUUGUUUGAUGCUAGGCCGGAGUUGAUUGAAGCACUAAAUCAGUAAAUGUUUGUAGUUCAGAUUUUGACAGCUGACUAGACGGUUGCCUUCCAAGUA